CUUGCUUUCUGGUCGCCAGGGAAGCAAGGAGGCAUCAACCCAGGACAGCAAGGGCAGGAAGGAGCCUGGGAGAAACAGAAGUCAACAAGCAGCAGAAUUUCACAGCCACCCACUGAAGCCGCUGGAGAUCUGAGGAAUCCCAGAGACAAGAAUGGGAAUCUCUCCCUUACCCUCAGGGCAGAAGAUCUCCUUUCCAGAGAAGGUCCUGCCCCACACCCAGAAGGAAGUGCUGCUCAGAGAGGCCAAGAAGAUUCUAGACAGAUAGGCUUUGCUGGGUGUCCCCAGUCAGUCCAUCAGGAUGGACUUUUUGUCCAAUCAUAUUUCUACAUGGCUGUCCAUACUUCGUUGAACUUAAGCAUAAAAGUGGACAAUAUCCCCUGUAUCUUUGGGUCUUCAUUCUGAAGG